UGGCGGCGUGGAUAAGACAUGCAAGUCGAGCGCUGAUUACGAGGUAGCAAUAUUUCGUAGUCGGAGCGGCGCAAGGGUGCGUAACACGUGGGUAAUCUGCCAUGAAGUUUGGAAUAACUUGCUGAAAGGCGAGCUAAUACCGGAUGUGAAAAUUGGAGGGCAUCUUCUGAUUUUCAAAGUUGGGGACCGUAAGGCCUGACGCUUCAUGAUGAGCCCGCGGCCUAUCAGCUAGUUGGUGAGGUAACGGCUCACCAAGGCUAAGACGGGUAGCUGGUCUGAGAGGACGACCAGCCACACUGGAACUGAGACACGGUCCAGACACCUACGGGUGGCAGCAGUCGAGAAUUUUUCACAAUGGGCGCAAGCCUGAUGGAGCGACGCCGCGUGGGGGAUGAAUGGCUUCGGCCCGUAAACCCCUGUCAUUUGCGAUCAAACCUCGUUAUUUAAAAGAUGACGAGCUGAUAGUAGCGAAAGAGGAAGGGACGGCUAACUCUGUGCCAGCAGCCGCGGUAAUACAGAGGUCCCAAGCGUUGUUCGGAUUCACUGGGCGUAAAGGGUGCGUAGGUGGUGGGGUAAGUCGGAUGUGAAAUCUCCGAGCUCAACUCGGAAAUGGCAUUGGAAACUGCCCUGCUAGAGGGUCGGAGGGGGGACUGGAA
rnacentral:rRNA from 1 species